rnacentral:tRNA from 1 species
GCGUCCGUAGCUCAGUUGGAUAGAGCGCACCCCUCCGGAGGGUGAGGUCGGGGGUUCGACUCCUCCCGGGCGCGCCA